UACGAGGGGGGCAAGCGUUGUUCGGAUUUACUGGGCGUAAAGGGCGCGUAGGCGGCAAUUCAAGUCAGUUGUGAAAUCUCCGAGCUUAACUCGGAACGGUCAACUGAUACUGUUUUGCUAGAGUACAGAAGGGGCAAUCGGAAUUCUUGGUGUAGCGGUGAAAUGCGUAGAUAUCAAGAGGAACACCUGAGGUGAAGACGGGUUGCUGGGCUGAUACUGACGCUGGAGGCGCGAAAGCUAGGGUAGCAAACGGG
rnacentral:rRNA from 1 species